AGAGCGAACGCUGGCGGCAGGCCUAAUACAUGCAAGUCGAACGGAUCCUUCGGGAUUAGUGGCGGACGGGUGAGUAACACGUGGGAACGUGCCCUUUGGUUCGGAACAACUCAGGGAAACUUGAGCUAAUACCGAAUGUGCCCUUCGGGGGAAAGAUUUAUCGCCAUUGGAGCGGCCCGCGUCUGAUUAGCUAGUUGGUGGGGUAAAGGCCCACCAAGGCGACGAUCAGUAGCUGGUCUGAGAGGAUGAUCAGCCACACUGGGACUGAGACACGGCCCAGACUCCUACGGGAGGCAGCAGUAGGGAAUCUUGCGCAAUGGGCGAAAGCCUGACGCAGCCAUGCCGCGUGAAUGAUGAAGGUCUUAGGAUUGUAAAAAUUCUUUCAGCGGGACGAUAAUGACGGUACCCGCAGAAGAAGCCCCGGCUAACUUCGCGCCAGCAGCCGC
rnacentral:rRNA from 1 species